UUAUUUAGUGACUGAAUUGUAAGUAAUGGUCUCUUAAACCAAUUAAUGACACCUUAACAACUGUCCUAAAUA
rnacentral:tRNA from 1 species